UUCUCAGCAGCUCUUAUCCCUACCUCUCCGUGGUACCGGCGGCCAAUUACAACCUUAGGGAACUUUAGUCGUUGGCUGACAGGGAAGG
rnacentral:ribozyme from 1 species